rnacentral:rRNA from 1 species
UAAGUUCCCCCUUAGCCCCCUCCCCCAGGCAAGCACCCAAACUUCCAUGUAGCAAGCUAAGAGCUAUUUAAAGGGGGUACAGCCCCUUUAAAAAAGAAUACAACCUCUACUAGCGGAUAACAACCCCCCCGUCUCACACCUGUGGGCCUUAAAGCAGCCACCCCUAAAGAGUGCGUCAAAGCUCUCAACCAAAAAAUCCAAAAACACAUGCGACUCCCUACACCCCUAGCAGGCUAACCUAUGACAAUAGAUGAAUCAAUGCUAAAACGAGUAACCAGGAUACCACAUCCCCUUAAGCGCCAACCUACAAGCCAUUAAACAGCAUAAUCAGCAAUACCCCCUCCCCCCCUUAACCAAACAUUGGAUAUAUCCUGUCAACCCAACCCAGGAGCGCACAUUAGGACGAUUAAAAUCUGCAAAAGGAACUCGGCAAACCCAAGGCCCGACUGUUUACCAAAAACAUAGCCUUCAGCCCAAACAAGUAUUGAAGGUGAUGCCUGCCCAGUGACAUUACGUUUAACGGCCGCGGUAUCCUAACCGUGCAAAGGUAGCGCAAUCAAUUGUCCCAUAAAUCGAGACUUGUAUGAAUGGCUAAACGAGGCCUUAACUGUCUCUUGCAGACAAUCAAUGAAACUGAUCUCCCUGUGCAAAAGCAGGGAUAAACACAUAAGACGAGAAGACCCUGUGGAACUUUAAAAUCAAUAGCCACUACACACUUAACCUAAGCCUACCAGGUCCACCGCCCGAAACACUGGCUAACAUUUUUAGGUUGGGGCGACCUUGGAGAAAAACAAAUCCUCCAAAAACAGGGCCAAACCCCCUAACCAAGAGCAACCCCUCAACGUGCCAAUAGCACCCAGACCCAAUAAAAUUGACCAAUGAACCAAGCUACCCCAGGGAUAACAGCGCAAUCUCCCCCAAGAGCCCCUAUCGACGGGGAGGUUUACGACCUCGAUGUUGGAUCAGGACAUCCUAGUGGUGCAACCG